CCUCACUCUAAACCUUCAGUUAUUGAGAGGCCUAUACAAAAAUUAGUACUUCUCCUUGAGAAUUAAUUGAAGCAGACACUGCUUGAUUGAUUGUGAUAUACAGUUCACCUGUAUACUUCUGAUCACUUCUGUCAUUUAUUAGAGUCAAGAAAUCCUGUACAAUUCAUCUAGUUUUGUUUAUGUAUUAUUUUAUUCAUUGUAGCAGGAUUUGGUGGGAGUGUAAAUGACAGCUGAAUAUUUUAUUUAUUUAUUUAUUUUUCUUUGGUAAAUGAUGCAGUUCUACCACUCUACAUUUUGGGCUUUUAUUUUGAAGAGCUCCGCUCUUAUUCUACUACCUCCUGUUAUUACUGACGCUAAACCUUCUGUUCGAGUUCUCACCAUAAUGCUGUGCACGUUGCUCCAGAAACGACUGUCACUGAGAGGUGUGUGGAAGAUAGGCUGUUGGCAGACAAAGCUCAAACUUAGCGCCCUUGGAAGCAGAAGGAGGUAUGAAGAGACAAAUUGUGCAUUAAUUCAAAUGAGUGAUUUAUUUCAUUUAAGACAAAGAGAAAUGGUUAUUAUUAUUUUAUUUUCAGUAGGAACUGUAACUCAUAAUAACUUAAAAGGUUAAAUUCAUGUGGAAGUUUGCUAAGAAUUACUAAUUUAAAAGUUUAAAUACUGUUCUAUUCAUUAUCUGUGAAAUAUGGUACUAUGGCAUUUGUGUUUUGUAUCUGUUAUGUAGUUUUCACGGUGUCAAAACGUCUGUGGUGAGAAGAGGAGAGAAAUAAAGUUGCACCAGUAGAAGCUCCGA